AUUAAAGUAAUCGAAUAACUUUUCAGAAUAAAUCGUUUUGUGACAUGAUACAUUUUCGAAAGAUAGUUGGCGUUCUUUUAGGUUACAUUGAGAUUGAAUUCUGCAAUAGAUCUUUCUACAAUUCUGAUCUGUUAAUUAUGAAUGUUAGAGAGGAUCAAGAGUUACGAUCUGCCCAGUAGAAACCAAAUUCGGAAGGUUUAAUAAUGUUCACUAUACUUUUACUCCUGGGCAGUGCUGCUGCUGUGGUACUAGUUUCAGCUAAACCAGGUUUUGAUCCGCAUAACAUGAAUAGCCUUGACAUGGGUUUCCAGUUUUCCUUUGCAAAUAUAAGAAUGAGGUGUCUCUGCCAAGUAAAACCAAGCAGAAACAUCAA
rnacentral:lncRNA from 1 species